rnacentral:rRNA from 1 species
GUAUAAGAGACAGCAGUCGCCGCGGGAAUACGAAAGGGGCUAGCGUUGCUCGGAAUGACUGGGCGUAAAGGGCGCGUAGGCGGUUUUGACAGUCAGAUGUGAAAUUCCUGGGCUUAACCUGGGGGCUGCAUUUGAGACGUCAAGACUAGAGUGUGAGAGAGGGUUGUGGAAUUCCGAGUGUAGAGGUGAAAUUCGUAGAUAUUCGGAAGAACACCAGUGGCGAAGGCGGCUUACUGGCUCAUACUGGACGCUGAGGUGCGAAAGCGUGGGGAGCAAACAGGAUUAGAUACCCGCGUAGUCCCUGUCUCUUAUAC